GAUGAACGCUGACGGCGUGCCUAAUACAUGCAAGUCGAGCGAACAGACGAGGAGCUUGCUCCUCUGACGUUAGCGGCGGACGGGUGAGUAACACGUGGAUAACCUACCUAUAAGACUGGGAUAACUUCGGGAAACCGGAGCUAAUACCGGAUAAUAUAUUGAACCGCAUGGUUCAAUAGUGAAAGACGGUUUUGCUGUCACUUAUAGAUGGGUCCGCGCCGCAUUAGCUAGUUGGUAAGGUAACGGCUUACCAAGGCAACGAUGCGUAGCCGACCUGAGAGGGUGAUCGGCCACACUGGAACUGAGACACGGUCCAGACUCCUACGGGAGGCAGCAGUAGGGAAUCUUCCGCAAUGGGCGAAAGCUUGACGGAGCAACGCCGCGUGAGUGAUGAAGGUCUUCGGAUCGUAAAACUCUGUUAUUAGGGAAGAACAAAUGUGUAAGUAACUAUGCACGUCUUGACGGUACCUAAUCAGAAAGCCACGGCUAACUACGUG
rnacentral:rRNA from 1 species